GGAGCUGGGGGGCAGGCAGUCGGGGAAGGAGGGGUCUUAAGGGGCGGCGAGCGCAGGUCGGAUUUCCUCCGAGGCUGCCGAUCAGCGGAGCUCCCACCUUCCCUUAGAGCUCGCUGCAGCCGCCCUGCCCCGCGCCCUCCGGAGACCGGGACCAGACCAUGAUGUGGACACGCUGGCUCGCGCUCGCGCUGGUGGCGGUCGCCUGGGUCCACGCCGAGGAAGAACUAAGAAGCAAAUCCAAGAUCUGUGCCAAUGUGUUUUGUGGAGCUGGCCGGGAAUGUGCAGUCACAGAGAAGGGAGAGCCCACCUGCCUCUGCAUUGAGCAAUGCAAACCUCACAAGAGGCCUGUGUGCGGCAGCAAUGGCAAGACCUACCUCAACCACUGUGAGUUACAUCGAGACGCCUGCCUCACUGGAUCCAAAAUCCAGGUUGAUUAUGAUGGACACUGCAAAGAGAAGAAAUCUGUAAGUCCAUCUGCCAGCCCAGUCGUUUGCUAUCAGUCCAACCGGGAUGAGCUCCGGCGUCGCAUCAUCCAGUGGCUGGAAGCAGAGAUCAUUCCAGAUGGCUGGUUCUCUAAAGGCAGCAACUACAGUGAAAUCCUAGACAAGUACUUUAAGAACGUUGAUAAUGGUGACUCUCGCUUGGACUCCAGUGAGUUACUGAAAUUUGUGGAGCAGAAUGAAACUGCCAUCAACAUCACUACCUAUGCCGACCAAGAGAACAACAAGCUGCUUAGAGGACUCUGUGUUGAUGCUCUCAUUGAACUGUCUGACGAAAAUGCUGACUGGAAACUCAGCUUCCAAGAGUUCCUCAAGUGCCUCAACCCGACCUUCAAUCCUCCAGAGAGGAAGUGUGCCCUGGAGGAUGAGACAUAUGCAGAUGGAGCAGAGACCGAGGUGGACUGUAACCGUUGUGUCUGUGCCUGUGGAAACUGGGUCUGCACAGCCAUGACCUGUGAUGGAAAGAAUCAGAAGGGGGCCCAGGCCCAGACAGAGGAGGAGAUGACCAGAUAUGUCCAGGAGCUCCAGAAGCACCAGGGCCCAGGACAGAUGUCAUCCUCCAACCCCCACCAUUUCCAAAGGGAACAAAGGAGGAGAAUCUGCGCAAAGAGCAUUGAAAGGAGAGAUUUGGAAGGUGACGUUUAGGAAUAAUAAAGACUGAAAUCAACUGGACAAAUCAGAAGAAUUUAAGACUUCCAUGCUGUCACCCACAAGAAUCAAAAGGGAGUCCCAGAGUUCCACAUGAUCCAGAUAAGUCUGCUCCAUCCUGGCUUCCACUCCUUCAUCAGAGAGUAAAGAGAGGACCUGAAAAUUCUGUGUGCUCCUGACAAAACCCUCACCCUCUUUCCCCUCAACAACAUUCACAGCUUUGCCAUUAUGGUCCGUCUUGAGAUAACCGUAUCUAAUCUCACCAUGUCUUUUUCCCUUUUCAAGCUUAACAUGACAAGAAGCACAAGACCCCCAGUAUAUCCUUAAUCCCGUGGACUCUGAUCUCCCUAUGGCUCUUACCCUUCCUUUUCGGACCCUAUUUACAACCCAUUCCCAAAUUCUGAACCCCUUCUGUGCCCUCUGGAACCUGCUAUCAAUCAUCAGCAAACCCUUUCUAUUCUCAACUUCUGUUAACAUUUCCCUUACCUUCUUGCUCUAACUGAAAUUUGACUUUCCUCUGAGGACACUUCUUCCCCUAUAGCUCUUUCAAGUUUUCUUUCUAACAUCCUCCAUACAUUUGACGUAAGUGAAUUCCUUACUUCUCAUUAUGGCUUCCAGAUCAUUCUCUCUCCCUCCUCUCUGCACACUUCGAGCUUAAAAUCUCAUCCCAUUAGACUUUUCCAUUCACUACCUUCCAUGUUACAUUCUUCUAUUGCUCCCCACCACCAUUCCUUGAUUUUAGGUGCUGGUCCUGCCAAGCCAUUCAACAUUACUUCUGUCAUAAUUCUUGGUGUCACUAUCUCAUGUAUGAUCCACCCAUUGACCUUCUUUGGACCUGGACCUUCUUUCCUUUAAGGAUCUUGUUUCCCAUUUUACCUUAGUCACCCGCUCCAUGGUUGGAACUUAGAUUUUGUCAUUAGCAUUAACCACAACCACUCCAUUAUCUCAAUUCCAAGCAUUGAAACUCUCCAACCACUACCUUCUACCCCUCCAGCUCACUGUCUCUAGUACCUGACUCUAAGAACUCUUUGGCUGCCAUUAGGACCUGGACACCAAUGAUCCUACUGCUUCCUCACUGUCCUUUCCCCUGCUUUACAUCCCUUACCCUUUCUAACACAGCUUAGAUCCCAUGGGUGGUUACAUCAUCACUUUCUAGCACAUAUCUGUCUUCCUUUGUCACACCUAUAUGGCCAAACCCCAACAUCUGGCUAACCCUACUCUCCUCCCAUUCUGUGCCUAUACACAAGCAAUUGAAUGUGGCUGGAGAAAAACACACAACCAUACUAAAUAUUCUCACUUUAGAUUUACAACCAUAAACCUCAAAUAUGCCUUCUGUGCUACCCAGGAAGACUGUCAUGUUUAUUUAGUUAUUCUCCUCUCCUCUCCUAGAUGACCGUUUCAUCCUUUCUCCUCAAACCUCCAAUACCAUCAUACCCAGCCUCACAUUCAGCUGAUAAACCUCCUAUUUCACUAAGAAAAUUAGAAGCAAGCAGAAGAGAAUUUCUACAAGCUCCCCAAACCACACUAUUCACUUUUGUCAUCAGUGCCUACAUACUCUGACUUACCUCUUUUGCAUAAUCUUACCUAGGCAAAUACUUCUACCUGUGCAUUAGACCCCAUCCUUUUGCCUACCAAGAGACAUUACUCAGCAAUUCUUCCCCCAUUCUAUUUCAACUUUACCCUCUCCAUUUGUUCAUUAUCAACAUACAAACAAGCUGUUAUUCCUCUCAUCUAAACAAAGAAAAAGAAAAGUGAAACCCUAACUUUCUCAGCUAACACAUUUCUCUGCUGCUCCCCUUUGAAGCAAACUGUCCUCCGUGUUACCUCUCCAGUGAUCUAUUCUUAGUCCCCCAAAACUGCCUGUGUUCUUUCUCUCAAAUGAUCUCAUCUCAGUCCUCCUCUUAUUGACUUGUGUGCAGCUUUUGGCACAAGUAAUCACUCCUUCCUCCCUGAAACAUUUCCUUCGUUUGGCUUCCAGGUCACAACACAUUCCUCUUUUCCACUCUACUUUACUGUCCUUUUUUUCUCAUUUCCCUUUACUGGUUUCUCUUAAUCUCUCUGACCUAUAAAUGUUGGAGGGCCCCAGGGUUCAGUUCCUGGACCUCUAAUCUUUUCCAUCUAUGACUGCUCCCUUGUAAGCACAUUUAGUCUUACAAUUUGAAAUACUAUCUAUAGAUUGACAACUCUCAGUUGCAUGUUUCAAGCCUGGACUUCUCUCCUCAACUCCAAUUUCAUAUCCAACCAUCAAUUCAACAUGGCCCCUCAAAUGUCUGAAAUGGGCCUCUCUAACUUAACACAUCCAAAUUUCAGACUUUUGGAUCAGAAUAAAUGGUGACUCCACUCUCUCAGGUGACUCCACUCUCUUUUCUGCACACCCGUCAUCUAAUCUGUCAGUAAAUCCUAUCUGCUCUGCCUCCAUAACCGACUCUCCUCUCACCAUUUCCACUACUACCAUCUUAGACAAGUCAUCAUCUUUUCUUACCUGGUUUGUUAUAACAAUCUCCCAACUGGCCACCCUACUCUCAUCCUCAUCUCUCUUGGCUCUUUUCUCAAAAGUCACCAGAAAGAUACUUUUAAAAUAUAAGUGAGGUAAUUUUACUCCUCUGUUGAAAACCUUCUAAUAGUUUUCCAUCUUUUUUCAGAGUAUGAGCAAAAGCCAAAACCCUUACAAUGGCCUAUAAAGCACAAUGCAUUCCAGUCUCUUGUUAUCUUUCUGAUACCAUCUCUUACACUCUCCUCAUAUUCUCUUCAUUCCAACCAGUGGUCUCCUUGCUGUUACUCAAAUCCACCAGCCCUUGUCCAUCCCAGCGCCUGGCAUCCUCACCUCCUACAAAUUCUUCUUAAAAUUUAGCUUCUCAGUAAGGUUUUUCUCUGGACAGCCUAUUUAAAAUCACAACCUUCCUUCCCUUCCCCUCCACUCUUUUUCCAAUCUGCCUUCCCUGCUUUUUCUCUAUACAACUCUUGACCAUUUGAUACACUACCUAUAAACUAAAUAUUUAGUUUAUAUUGAAAUAUAAUAUACACACAGAAAAGUACAUGUAAGUGUUCAGCUCAAUUAAUUUUCACAAACUGAAUGCAAUCAUGUAACUAGCACCCAGACCAAGAAACAGAAUAUUACCAACACCUGCAGAUUUUCCUCAUGCUCCCUCCUAGCCACUGUGCCCUCUUCACACUCUAAGGGUAAGCAUGACUCUAACUUCUGACAGCAUAGAUUAAUUUUGCUUGUUUUUGUAUUUCAUAUAAAUGGACCCAUACAGUGACAUACUACACAUUUUAAUGAUCUGUUUAUUUACUGCCUAUUUUACCCAACUACUAGCAUGUAAGUUCCAAGACAGAAGGAAUUCGUUUUGUUUAUUUCUGUAUACCCAAUGCCUAAAAGAGUAUCUGGCACAGAGUUGUAGCCCAACAAAUAUUUGAUGAAUGAAUGAAAUAUUGAACAAAUAGAAAUGAGAGUAGGAGAUUUAGGAAAGGCUUAACGUCUGAGCCAAAUCCUUCAGGAUGAUUAGGAGUCCAUGAAGCAGUCCCAAAAAAGAAAGGCAACCUAAGCAUAGGCAGGGCCUCUGUGGUGGCUUGGCAGAAUGAAAAAAUAAGCACAGUCUAGAACCAUGAGAAGUCAGCUGAAAGUAACGGCAAUAGCCAUGUGUUGAAAAACAGUGAGUUAUGAGAGUGGAAAAAUAGGCAGAUGCCCGAUCUCAAAGGGCUUUAUAUAAAUAAGUCCAUGCACAGAGUUAGAAAGGGAGAAAAGUAAAAUAUAGGGGACUCUAGGCACUUCCAGGACACCAGGCAUUUUUAGGUGUUGACAUUUUGGAGCAUUUCAGAGGACAUGAAACAGGAAUUUCCUUGAAGUCAACUUAUUAAUAACUUUUUGUAGUGUCUCAGAAAAGAGUCUGUGGCCCCCAUGGUAAUGGUCAGAGACCUCUAACUACUUCUGAAUAUGUGAGAAAGGCUUCUGAAUAUGCGAGAAUAAUCUGAGGAAUAAGUAACCUCCAUUUUUUUUUUCCUUUAAAGGAAUGCACAACGCAAAAUAAAUCUCUGAGUCUGUCUAAUUAUCCUUGUUUUACCAGAAUGGGGCAAGGAGCCAGGAGCUCUGCUUUCCUCACCUGCUGCCCAUGACUUUGAGGAGAUGGCACCCCAUCUCAUGGGGAGGGAUAGGCCAGAGAUGCUGUCUCACCUACCACUGCUGUAUUUACUUUUGGAAUCUUCCCCUCUCCAGGGGUUCAUUGCAGACCCUCUGCUGACCUCAGACACCCUGCUGGAGUCACAGAAGAUAACAAAUGAUUUUCACCACCACCUUCUUAUCUCUACCAGCACUUGCCCUGGAGGGAUUCUACUAUGCCUCCCUCCACCCACAGGAGAUCUCUGGUGAGAAGAAGACCACUCUCCUAUAAUCCUGAGAAGGGCUCAGAACAACACUUCAGAGCUGGUCUGCCAGUGGAACUGCUGCCUCUGCUAUAUCAGGAAGCUGGUAAAUCAGGAAGUCAUCACUGCAAGAACUGACUCCAGAGCCAAACCGCACCUUCUAGAUUCACAGAGGCAAAAGAAAGGAUGCCUCGUGCAAUAUCACCUCUCUCCCCAUUCAAAUCAAUUGGUGAUUCAAUCUGUGAGCAAAUGUAUCUGAUUAGCAGAGUUUAUGUCAUUCCCAGAACCCAAACUGUAAAGCAAUCUUAGAAAUGUA